rnacentral:tRNA from 1 species
GGGCCGUGGCGGAACUGGUAGACGCAUCGGACUUAAAAUCCGGUGGCAGCGAUGUCGUACGGGUUCGAUUCCCGUCGGCCCC